rnacentral:rRNA from 1 species
CACGUAGGGCGCAAGCGUUGUCCGGAAUUAUUGGGCGUAAAGAGCUCGUAGGCGGUCUGUUGCGUCCGCUGUGAAAACCCGGGGCUUAACCCUGGGCUGGCAGUGGAUACGGACAGACUAGAGGUAGGUAGGGGAGAAUGGAAUUCCCGGUGUAGCGGUGAAAUGCGCAGAUAUCGGGAGGAACACCGGUGGCGAAGGCGGUUCUCUGGGCCUUACCUGACGCUGAGGAGCGAAGCGUGGGGAGCGAACAGG